GAUGAAGAACGCAGCGAAAUGCGAUAAGUAGUGUGAAUUGCAGAAUUCAGUGAAUCAUCGAAUCUUUGAACGCACAUUGCGCCCUUUGGUAUUCCAAAGGGCAUGCCUGUUCGAGCGUCAUUUGUACCCUCAAGCUUUGCUUGGUGUUGGCGUCUUGUCUCUAGCUUUGCUGGAGACUCGCCUUAAAGUAAUUGGCAGCCGGCCUACUGGUUUCGGAGCGCAGCACAAGUCGCACUCUCUAUCAGCAAAGGUCUAGCAUCCAUUAAGUCUUUUUUUCAACUUUUGACCUCGGAUCAGGUAGGGAUACCCGCUGAACUUAAGCAUAUCAAUAAGCGGAGGA
rnacentral:misc_RNA from 1 species